rnacentral:rRNA from 1 species
UAACACCUUCUUAUCCGCCUGGCCCCUGUCUGCUCGGUUUUGGGUUGGGGUGACCGCGGAGCAUAAAAUAGCCUCCACGAAAGAAGGGAUGAUUCCCUCAUUUUAGAACUACACUUCCAAAGACUAACAAAUUAAUUUUAAGUGAUCCGAUACCCGUAUUCGAUCAACGAACCAAGUUACCCUGGGGAUAACAGCGCAAUCUACCUCAAGAGCCCCUAUCGACAGGUGGGUUUACGACCUCGAUGUUGGAUCAGGGUAUCCCAGUGGUGCAGCAGCUACCAAAGGUUCGUUUGUUCAACGAUUAAAACCCU